CGCUGGCGGCGUGCCUAAUACAUGCAAGUCGAGCGAACAGAUAAGGAGCUUGCUCCUUUGACGUUAGCGGCGGACGGGUGAGUAACACGUGGGUAACCUACCUAUAAGACUGGGAUAACUUCGGGAAACCGGAGCUAAUACCGGAUAACAUUUGGAACCGCAUGGUUCUAAAGUGAAAGAUGGUUUUGCUAUCACUUAUAGAUGGACCCGCGCCGUAUUAGCUAGUUGGUAAGGUAACGGCUUACCAAGGCGACGAUACGUAGCCGACCUGAGAGGGUGAUCGGCCACACUGGAACUGAGACACGGUCCAGACUCCUACGGGAGGCAGCAGUAGGGAAUCUUCCGCAAUGGGCGAAAGCCUGACGGAGCAACGCCGCGUGAGUGAUGAAGGGUUUCGGCUCGUAAAACUCUGUUAUUAGGGAAGAACAAAUGUGUAAGUAACUGUGCACAUCUUGACGGUACCUAAUCAGAAAGCCACGGCUAACUACGUGCCAGCAGCCGCGGUAAUACGUAGGUGGCAAGCGUUAUCCGGAAUUAUUGGGCGUAAAGCGCGCGUAGGCGGUUUCUUAAGUCUGAUGUGAAAGCCCACGGCUCAACCGUGGAGGGUCAUUGGAAACUGGGAAACUUGAGUGCAGAAGAGGAAAGUGGAAUUCCAUGUGUAGCGGUGAAAUGCGCAGAGAUAUGGAGGAACACCAGUGGCGAAGGCGACUUUCUGGUCUGUAACUGACGCUGAUGUGCGAAAGCGUGGGGAUCAAACAGGAUUAGAUACCCUGGUAGUCCACGCCGUAAACGAUGAGUGCUAAGUGUUAGGGGGUUUCCGCCCCUUAGUGCUGCAGCUAACGCAUUAAGCACUCCGCCUGGGGAGUACGACCGCAAGGUUGAAACUCAAAGGAAUUGACGGGGACCCGCACAAGCGGUGGAGCAUGUGGUUUAAUUCGAAGCAACGCGAAGAACCUUACCAAAUCUUGACAUCCUUUGAAAACUCUAGAGAUAGAGCCUUCCCCUUCGGGGGACAAAGUGACAGGUGGUGCAUGGUUGUCGUCAGCUCGUGUCGUGAGAUGUUGGGUUAAGUCCCGCAACGAGCGCAACCCUUAAGCUUAGUUGCCAUCAUUAAGUUGGGCACUCUAGGUUGACUGCCGGUGACAAACCGGAGGAAGGUGGGGAUGACGUCAAAUCAUCAUGCCCCUUAUGAUUUGGGCUACACACGUGCUACAAUGGACAAUACAAAGGGCAGCUAAACCGCGAGGUCAUGCAAAUCCCAUAAAGUUGUUCUCAGUUCGGAUUGUAGUCUGCAACUCGACUACAUGAAGCUGGAAUCGCUAGUAAUCGUAGAUCAGCAUGCUACGGUGAAUACG
rnacentral:rRNA from 1 species